rnacentral:rRNA from 1 species
UAGGGAAUCUUCGGCAAUGGACGAAAGUCUGACCGAGCAACGCCGCGUGAGUGAAGAAGGUUUUCGGAUCGUAAAACUCUGUUGUUAGAGAAGAACAAGGACGUUAGUAACUGAACGUCCCCUGACGGUAUCUAACCAGAAAGCCACGGCUAACUACGUGCCAGCAGCCGCGGUAAUACGUAGGUGGCAAGCGUUGUCCGGAUUUAUUGGGCGUAAAGCGAGCGCAGGCGGUUUCUUAAGUCUGAUGUGAAAGCCCCCGGCUCAACCGGGGAGGGUCAUUGGAAACUGGGAGACUUGAGUGCAGAAGAGGAGAGUGGAAGUCCAUGUGUAGCGGUGAAAUGCGUAGAUAUAUGGAGGAACACCAGUGGCGAAGGCGGCUCUCUGGUCUGUAACUGACGCUGAGGCGCGAAAGCGUGGGGAGCAAACAGG